rnacentral:rRNA from 1 species
UGGACGAAAGUCUGACGGAGCAACGCCGCGUGAGUGAAGAAGGUUUUCGGAUCGUAAAACUCUGUUUUCAGGGACGAAUGUGUGGAUUGUAAAUAAUGAUCCAUAAUGACGGUACCUGACAAGAAAGCCACGGCUAACUACGUGCCAGCAGCCGCGGUAAUACGUAGGUGGCAAGCGUUGUCCGGAAUUAUUGGGCGUAAAGCGCGCGCAGGUGGGAUAAUCAGUCUGAUGUUAAAGUUCGGGGCUUAACCCCGUGAAGCAUUGGAUACUGUUAUUCUUGAGUGCAGGAGAGGAAAGUGGAAUUCCUAGUGUAGCGGUGAAAUGCGUAGAUAUUAGGAGGAACACCAGUGGCGAAGGCGACUUUCUGGACUGUGUCUGACACUGAGGCGCGAAAGCCAGGGUAGUGAACGGGAUUAGAUACCCCGGUAAUCCUGGCCGUAAACGAUGGGUACUAGGUGUUGGGGGUAUCGACCCCUCCAGUGCCGGAGUUAACGCAAUAAGUACCCCGCCUGGGGAGUAC